rnacentral:lncRNA from 1 species
GGGUCAUUAGAAGCAUUCAUCUUGUCAUGGUUACAUCCAAAACUCAUACACCAUCUCCUCUGAAAGGUACUUAUUACUAAAAGAGAAAGUUAAAUAUGUAAAAACUAGAAAAAUAAGAUGCCAGAUGUAAAUCGAUAAUUUUAGCAGUGGGCAGUGAAUGACAGGGAGACGGGUGAAUAUCUCCUGAAAAAUAUCUUUAACCAUCACUACUGGGAUAAUAAAUUCAAGUAACUGUAAAAAUGUGCCUCUUACAGAAAUGGCUUUCUAAAAUUAUUCGCUAGGAAAUGUGAAACUUUAUACAUUCAUUCCGUCAGAGGAGAAUUUAAAACCACUCAUAUGUCACAAGUUUACAGAUAAUGAGAAAUGAAGGUUCUGUGUCAGUAAUAACAGAUAUGCUGCUAAGGUCAAGCUGCUUUUAUGAAGCAGUGCAAAGAAGGAGCCCUGUGCCAGCCAGCCUCCCAGAUCCAGAAACAUCAUAACAAUAGAGAGGUUACUGGCUCACGAGGCAGACAAUGCAGCUGUGCCUGCCUAAGAAGCAGAGGAGAGGAUAUUUAUCAGUGAGACUGAAGAAUCUUCUGAAACCUUCAUUCUAAUUUUCAUUGGUCUUAACUUCCUUCUACUAGAGCUACCCAGUUAUAAAAUACCAGUAGAGAUCUAUGUCUUUAUACCACAUCGUUAUAUUUGAAUUUGGUUCAAGUAAAGAGCAAAACUUUAUUAUGGUACAUUGAAUGAAUAUGACAAAUAUAUCAAAGCAUACUGAACGAAUAUAAUGAGUUAAACCUUUCUAAAUAUUUCCAGUUUCAUGUCCCCUUACUACUAAGUAACCCAGUUUCUUUGCCUGUACCGAAUCUAUUAGGCCUGAAAAGAGAGCAGGGAAAAUGCUGUCUCAGCCAAGAAGAGGACACGAUGGAGGGGAGCCCAUGCUCAAGAACAGAAAGGAAGCCCACCCAGUCAGCUCCGGAAGACCCAGGCAUUUCAAGCACCUAGCAGCUGCUGCAGGACACCUGAAACAUCCAGAAUGAUGGGGACCAGUGAGCUGUAAUACCGCUAAGGCAGUGGCUACA